UACGUAGGGUGCAAGCGUUGUCCGGAAUUAUUGGGCGUAAAGAGCUCGUAGGCGGUUUGUCGCGUCUGCUAUGAAAACGCGAGGCUCAACCUCGCGCCUGCAGUGGGUACGGGCAGACUAGAGUGCGGUAGGGGAGAUUGGAAUUCCUGGUGUAGCGGUGGAAUGCGCAGAUAUCAGGAGGAACACCGAUGGCGAAGGCAGAUCUCUGGGCCGUAACUGACGCUGAGGAGCGAAAGCGUGGGGAGCGAACAGG
rnacentral:rRNA from 1 species